rnacentral:lncRNA from 1 species
AUUAUUAUUAAAAAUAAUCAUUUUGAAUAACAAUAAUUAUAAUAAAUAAUGAUACUAAUCAACUAAGGUUAUUUUAAUAACUCGCAAUAAUCUAUUAUAAUUCUAAAAUAAUGUAAAUACAUCAAUAACAAUGUAAUUUAUUUUAAUUCUGAUUUCUACAAUUAAAAUAAAUAAUUUAUCCUUAUUUUUAUUUUUUAUUUUGAUUCCAAUUAUUAUAAUUUCGGACUAUCCCGAUGGCCAAUUAGUCACGGACGCGAUCCAUAUGCAUGUGUGCAACUCACGUGGCGAACUUGGUGUACACAAACAGAGUUUCAGUGUCCAAAGGUGCUAUUGUCUGAAGGACAUGUGUAAAAGGCAUCACGAUCAUCCAAUGUCUGGCGCGGUAUGAUUACAGGGACACAAGGCGACUGAUAAUUUACUUAAUUGCUUCUCUUGAGGGUCCCAGCCGGAGUUCCCAACCUAACCUGCAGACAAGUGUGAUGAUUGAUGAUUGAUGAUUUGAUGAUCAGAUUCUAUCUCAUGUGAGAACCCCUUUGGUGUAUUUUAUGGACCAUCCAAUCCCUCAAUUCACCAUUCGUCUUUUCAAUUGACGAUCUGUUUUUUAGGUAGAGUACCUAACCAUUUCAAAGGAAAAAAAUAAUAAAAUAAUGUAAGUUAUCUUAAUUGAUAAAAGUUUUUUUGGGUGAUAUAAAAUGUUUGGGGU